rnacentral:rRNA from 1 species
UACGUAGGGAGCAAGCGUUGUUCGGAUUUACUGGGCGUAAAGGGCGCGUAGGCGGCAAUUCAAGUCAUCUGUGAAAUCUCCGGGCUUAACUCGGAACGGUCAGAUGAUACUGUUUUGCUAGAGUGCAGAAGGGGCAAUCGGAAUUCUUGGUGUAGCGGUGAAAUGACGUAGAUAUCGGAAGGAACACCGGUGGCGAAAGCGGCACGCUGGGCCCGUACUGACGCUGAGGCGGCGAAAGCCAGGGUAGCAAACGGG